GGGCUGGGCUCUGGACGCUCAGACCUCAAACAACAAUCAUAUGGACUAGAGCUAAGAAUAUACAUAGUCUGCCUCAGCUACUCUGGGGUAUCAGUGUGUGCCUCCCUCCUCAUCCCCAUGAGAGGCCAGGAGAGCGACCCCUGCUGCAGUUCUUGCUUCCUCCCAGCUUUUGUUCCCACUCAUCAAGCAGCAGCACUGGUGAUGGGUCACCCCAACUCUGAGGUUCCCCAAUAUAAUGACACAGCUGGGAACCACUCUACAAAGCGGAGGAAGUGCAGGGCCAAUCCCCACAGCACCGGGCGCUGAGCACCGAGGGUGCCCUCUGGGAGCUGAAAUUGGACCUCAGCUGUGGCCCCAGCUGCUCAGAUGUGACUCGGCUCUGUUUCGAAACAGUUCAUCGGCUAAUUUGGCUCCUAGUUUAUUUUGUUUGUGUAUUUGCUCCCUCCUGGAAAUAAAGACCAUGUUGUAGUUAAAA
rnacentral:lncRNA from 1 species